UUUUCUCCUCAUCUGAUCAUCUCUGAUCAUCAUCACUGUAUCAGUAUGUACUCAUGGUUUCUGUAUGAAGGUGUGAGUUGGAUCUUAAAACAUUACACAGGGAUUCAGAAAGAUGAUGGAUCCUAAUGGAAUGUGAUUAAUUCCAGCAGAAGAGAUCGGCGUCUUCGGGACUCUGUGUCUACACAAGCAUUGAAAAAUGGAGAUUCCUGAUCAGGGGACAGAUCAUGUGACCUCACCCUCAAAAGCGGUAAACUACAGAGAGAGAGAUCACACUCACCAGAACCCAGCUGUGUCUCCAUGAAGAGUGAUGUGUCUAUGGAUCUUCCUCUCUACUUCAGUAAUGAAAACCCCUCACCUGGACCCAGGGAGCGGAAGCGUUUCCCCGAACGCAACAGAGAAAAG